UUCCCAGGCAGAUGCAGCAUCUUCCUCGGCGCUUCAACUGUUUGUUCGCUGCAGUGGAUCGGAAUUUCAGGGACUGAUAAGUUGAAGCCGAAUGAUUGGUGAUAUAAAAUCACGCGAAAUCGCUUACUCCACUAGGGAGCUGAGGUUAGGUUUGCAAAUUGUACUGUAUAGCUAGCUGUCCUGCACACAUAGCAAGCUAAGUUGGCUGCACAGUGCUAAGCAGUGUGGUCUUGUUGGCAACGAUCGGCAGAUAACGGCGGUUGAGACCGUGUUGUUAAUAUGCAAUUAAAUAAGUGCUGUAGUCAUGCCUAAUAUGUGUUUUAAGGUUACUUUGGCUUUAAUUUUACCAAUAAUAUCACUUUUAAACGUUAGUUAGUGUUAACUUAAACUAAUAUUUGACAUUAAACAGUAAGGUAAAAGUCCUAGACAAAACACGUUAACAUUAGUACUACGCUAGUUUAAGUUAACGCAAGUGUUGCAGAUCUAGAGAGAUGGCCUGCCCUCUUUGAACCAUCACAGAUCUGUGAAGAGUUCCUGUGAAUCAGUGGCAUAUCACUUGAGUCGACAUUUAUGUCACAGUUGGACAGGCAAACUCCAAAGCUGUUGUCACUUUUCAACGCAAAACGAGGAGCCGUCGGUCAAAGAACCAAGUCCCAAAUGAUGACACCCAUCCAGAUCCAUCUGCCUAUGGAGAAAAGGAGAGAAGUGGUCCUGAGAUGCCUGAUUGAGUACAUGGGGGAGAGACAAGAAGACCUCAUCAGUGUCCACAGCCGUGAUGAAACAGAGGUGCACGCUGAGCUUGGCAGUUGCCCACUGAAAAUGUACAUGUGCCAUCAGCCCGACACAAUUGGGAUUAUCAUAGAAGGACAGCCCAUGGUCAGAGGUGUGGCAAACCUGUCGAAAGCAUGCUACCUCCUGUUUGGAUUUACCUAUGCCCUCGACCUCAAGUAUCCCUCAAAACUGGUGAAUACUUUUGAGAUAUAUCAGAGGCUCUUUGUGGGAUUGGACCCCAAAACUUACUAACCACGCAUAAUAUUUUUUUUCUAAAAAAUGCAAACAUGUACAUCCAUCUUGGUCACAUAUUAUUGUAGCACAGUUUGUGCUGAAUACAAAAAAUAAUUACAUGUUGGUCAAUAGUAUGUUUUAAGUAGCUGAAAUAAGCACAAAUAUCAGGGCAUGUCAAAACAUCUCAAUUGCCCCACAAUGAUCUCAGACCCCAGAGGGUUAAAAAAAAUUCACAAAAAUCUAACCUUUCAUUGGAGAAUAAGAAUUUAAAAUGGGGGGAAAUAUCAUUAUGAAAUAAAUGUUUUUCUCUAAUACACAUUGGUCACAAUUAAUGGCACCCUUUUAUUCAAUACUUUUUGAAACCUCCAUUUGCCAGUUAAACAGCUCUAAAUUUUCUCCUAUAAUACCUGAUGAGGUUAGAGAACACCUGACAAGAGAUCAGAGACCAUUCCUUCAUCCAGAAUCUCUCCAGAUCCUUCAGAUUUACAGCUCCAUGACAGUGCUUCUUCUCUUCAGUUCACCCCACUCAUUUUCUAUAGGGUUCAGGGUCAGAGGACUGGAAUGGCCAUAGCAGAAGCUUGGUUUUGUGCCCAGUGACCCAUUUUUGUGUUGUUUUUGAGGUUUGUGUUUGGAUUAUUGUACGGUUGGAAGAUCCAAACAUGGCCCAUAAUAAGAUUUCUAACAGAGUCAGUCAUUUAUUGAUUUUUUAUCUGUUGGUAUUUGUUAGAAUCCAUGAUGCCAUGUGUCUAAACAAGAUGUCCAGGACCUUCAACAGAAAUAUAGGCCCACAACAUUAAAAAUACAGCAGUAUAUUUCAUUGUACACAUGGGGUACUUUUUUAUCCCUGUCCUACACCAAACCCAUCUUGAGUGUUUGCUGUUAAAAUUUUUCAUCUGACCAUAGAAGCCAGUCCCAUUUGAAGUCCCAGUCAUGUCUGAUAACUGAAUAUGCCGGAGAUUGUUUUUGGAAGAGCUAAGAGAAUUUUUCUUGAAAGCCUCCCGAACAACAUUGUGAUGUAGGGGCUAUUUGAAAAAGGUUUUCUGACCCUGAAACUCAACCUUUCUCUACAAUUCUCCAGCUGUGGUCCUUGAAGAGUCUUUGGAGACUCAAAUUCACCCCCUCACUGUGCAUUAGGAUGAUAUAGACACACGUCCUCUUCCAGGCUGAUUCAUAACAUUUUCUGUUGAUUGGAAAUUCUUAAUUAUUGCCCUGAUGUGGAAAUGGGAAUGUUCACUGCUCUAGCUCUUUUCUUAAAGCCACUUCACUAAUUUGUGAAGCUCAUUUAUCUUUUGCUGCACAUCAGAAAUAUGUUCUUUGGUUUUUCUCAUUGUGAUGGAUGAUUAAGGGAACUUGGACUUUGUUUUCCCUCCUAUUUAUAUUUCUGUGAAACAGGAAGCCAUGGCUGGAUAAUUUCAUGUUCAUAAUCCCCCUGGAGAGCUCAAAAUUGUAAAUAUGAAUUGGAAUAUACUUCAGAGAUAUUGUACUCAUAAGAAUUUUUUGGGGUACCAAUAAUUGUGUCCAACGUGUAUUUGAGAAAAAACACAUUUAUUUCAUAAUGAGAUUUUUCCCCAUUUUCAAUAGUUUUAGUUCAAUGAAAGGUUAGAUUUGUGUGAUUUAAAAAAAAUAAAAGAUCAAAAGGAUUAAUAAUGCAGGUUUAUUUUCAGAACCUUCUUUGAUCAUAUUGACCAAGGGUUCCAAUAAUUCUGACCACGACUGUAUAUACACAGUGAAUUACUGCUACAUCGUUGGAGUUGAGAUAAGUGAUUGAGAAUCUGAACUUUAUCUGAUAUCAGAACAUUUUGGAGAGAUUGGAACUGAACUGUGAUCUACUUCCAAAAGAGGAUACUUUAAGGAAUAUUGUCUUGCUGAUGUCAAAUAAUGGCUUUCUAAAAAUGUUCUGUUCUUGAACCCACAUAAAACUGAAGUUAAUGUUUUAAGUCCCUCCGAAAAGAGGAUAAGUAUUCAACUCAAUCUCAGGACCUUAAAUUCCUUCAUCUCUGUUUGGAAUCUGGGGGUGGUGUUUGAUAAUUCCUUAAAAUUUAAUAAACAAAUUAGUGCUGUAGUAGGCUCUAGCUUCUUCCUUAUUCGUUCUCUUUCUAAAAUCAAGUCAUUUCUUUAAAAAAGUUCUCAAGAGGUUGCUAUCCAUGCCUUUCUUACAGUAUUUCUCGGCUGGAUUAUUGCAACUCCCUCUAUUUUGGCAUAUCAAAGUCUCAAAUCUCUUGGUUACAAUAGUUCAAAAUGCAGCAGCUAGAUUCUUGAAGGGUUGUAAAAAGUGUGAUCAUUGCAUUGGCUGCCAGUUCACUAUCGAAUUGAGUUUAAAAUCUUACUGCUUGUCUAUAAAUCACUUAACAGUCAAGCUCCGUCUUAUUUGUCUGAUUUACUCCACCCCUACACUCCGCCAAGGGUACUAAGAUCAGAGGGCAAACUUCUUCUCCAGACCCUUAGAACCCGCUUAAAAACCAGGGUAUCUAGAGUCUUUGAAGUGGCUGGUCCCACCCUCUGGAACAACCUACCAGUUCAUAUUAGAAUGGCUUCCACUUUAUCUGAGUUCAAGUCAUAUCUUUUCUCUCUGGCUUUUAACUUGUAGUAAUGUGUGCUUUUGAAUGGUUUUAUCUGCUUUUUGUUGUUGUAUUGGUUUCUGAAUGGCUUUAAUUUGUUUACUGAUUUUCUUCUCGUUAAAUGUUAUUGUUUGUUGUGCAGCACUUUGGUCGGCCUUGUUUUGUGAUUAAAUGUUUCUCUAGAAAUAAAACUGAACUUGAACUUGAAAACAACACCACAUGGUCAUAAUGUGAUACUUUAAAUUGAACUAAAAGUUAUGUUAUUGCAAACAGAAUACAAUG